rnacentral:rRNA from 1 species
GCGUGAGUGAUGAAGGCCUUAGGGUUGUAAAGCUCUUUUGCCGGGGACGAUAAUGACGGUACCCGGAGAAUAAGUCCCGGCUAACUUCGUGCCAGCAGCCGCGGUAAUACGAAGGGGACUAGCGUUGUUCGGAAUUACUGGGCGUAAAGCGCACGUAGGCGGAUAUGUCAGUCAGGGGUGAAAUCCCGGAGCUCAACUUCGGAACUGCCUUUGAUACAGCAUAUCUAGAAUCCGGUAGAGGUGGGUGGAAUUCCUAGUGUAGAGGUGAAAUUCGU